CACCUCUAGCUCCGGUUCCGCCCCAACUCGUCCGUCCUUACUCUUUCUCUCUACUCGCGUCUCUGUCUGCCCUCCCUCUCUUCGACAGCGAACCACCGCGGGACCGGCGAACCACUGCGCCCCCCUCUAGCUCCAGAUCCGGCACCGGCUUGUCCAGGAUGUGGCAGUGAAGGUAUUCUCGAUGCAAGAAUAUUCAGAAGAAUUGAUAAAUUCCUUUAGACAAGAGGUUGUAAUUGCAGUUGAUGGUCUAGAUUCAGACUGAGGCAGUGAGGGAUAAUGGGUUGACCUUUUAGUUGAUAAUGAGCCC